GCAGACACAUUCCAGCCAAUCAGCAGCAGACCCUCCCUCCCAGCCCCUCCCACCUCCUGGACAGCUCACUAAGAAUGCAGCUUCAAAAUGGAUGCUGUCCAGGAGGUGGGAGGGUCUGGGAGGGAGGGUCUGCUGCUGAUUGGCUGGAAUGUGUCUG